AUGAACCGCUGGCGGCAGGCCUAACACAUGCAGUCGAGCGGUGGAGAGAAGCUUGCUUCUCUUGAGAGCGGCGGACGGGUGAGUAAUGCCUAGGAAUCUGCCUGGUAGUGGGGGAUAACGUUCGGAAACGAACGCUAAUACCGCAUACGUCCUACGGGAGAAAGCAGGGGACCUUCGGGCCUUGCGCUAUCAGAUGAGCCUAGGUCGGAUUAGCUAGUUGGUGAGGUAAUGGCUCACCAAGGCGACGAUCCGUAACUGGUCUGAGAGGAUGAUCAGUCACACUGGAACUGAGACACGGUCCAGACUCCUACGGGAGGCAGCAGUGGGGAAUAUUGGACAAUGGGCGAAAGCCUGAUCCAGCCAUGCCGCGUGUGUGAAGAAGGUCUUCGGAUUGUAAAGCACUUUAAGUUGGGAGGAAGGGCAUUAACCUAAUACGUUANGUGUUUUGACGUUACCGACAGAAUAAGCACCGGCUAACUCUGUGCCAGCAGCCGCGGUAAUACAGAGGGUGCAAGCGUUAAUCGGAAUUACUGGGCGUAAAGCGCGCGUAGGUGGUUUGUUAAGUUGGAUGUGAAAUCCCCGGGCUCAACCUGGGAACUGCAUUCAAAACUGACUGACUAGAGUAUGGUAGAGGG
rnacentral:rRNA from 1 species